UUGAAAGGGAAACGAUUGAAGUCAGUCGUACCGACGAGAAAUCAGCUUAUCGUGUGUUAACUUGUGGGCGUGCGUGAGUUUCGGCCUCGCUGUUUGCAUGUUUGUGCGCUUUGGGUGUACUUUUUCGUAUGGUAGGCCAACAUCAGUUUCGAUUAUUAUAAAAUGACUGGCGGAAUGUAGCUUCGAUUUCGGUUGAAGUGUUAUAGCCUCUGGUAGAUGUGGUAAUUGGGACUGAGGAUUGCAACGAAUAUCCUUUGGGCUAUCCGUCUGGCCUCUGAAAGUUGCUUGGGUGCUGAAAGCUUGCUUAUGGUUAUCUAAGUUAACGGUCAAUAGGUUAGAACGUGAUUACGUUCGUUAAGGAUGUUGACGUA
rnacentral:rRNA from 1 species